GGCGCUUUGGUCUAACAGCAAGACACUUGGUUUUCAGCCAGGAUGAUGCGGGUGCAACUCCUGUAAGCGUCA
rnacentral:tRNA from 1 species